rnacentral:rRNA from 1 species
UACGGAAUGUGCAAACGUUAUUCGGAAUCACUGGGCUUAAAGAGUCCGUAGGCGGCCCGUUAGGUGAGGUGUGAAAUCCCCCGGCUCAACCGAGGAAUUGCGCUUCAAACCGGCAGGCUCGAGGGAGAUAGAGGUGGACGGAACUGAUGGUGGAGCGGUGAAAUGCGUUGAUAUCAUCAGGAACACCGGAGGCGAAGGCGGUCCACUGGGUCUUUUCUGACGCUGAGGGACGAAAGCUAGGGGAGCGAACGGG